CCUACGGGAGGCAGCAGUGGGGAAUAUUGCACAAUGGGGGAAACCCUGAUGCAGCGACGCCGCGUGAGUGAAGAAGUAAUUCGUUAUGUAAAGCUCUAUCAGCAGGGAAGAAAAUGAAGGUACCUGAGUAAGAAGCCCCGGCUAACUACGUGCCAGCAGCCGCGGUAAUACGUAGGGGGCAAGCGUUAUCCGGAUAUACGGGGUGUAAAGGGGGCGUAGACGGCAGUGCGAGUCUGGAGUGAAAGGCGGGGGUUCAACCCCCGGACUGCUCUGGAAACUGUACGGCUGGAGUGCAGGAGAGGUAAGGGGAAUUCCUAGUGUAGCGGUGAAAUGCGUAGAUAUUAGGAGGAACACCAGUGGCGAAGGCGGCUUACUGGACUGUAACUGACGUUGAGGCUCGAAAGCGUGGGGAGCAAACAGGAUUAGAUACCCUAGUAGUC
rnacentral:rRNA from 1 species